UACGAAGGGGGCUAGCGUUGCUCGGAAUCACUGGGCGUAAAGGGUGCGUAGGCGGGUCUUUAAGUCAGGGGUGAAAUCCUGGAGCUCAACUCCAGAACUGCCUUUGAUACUGAGGAUCUUGAGUACGGGAGAGGUGAGUGGAACUGCGAGUGUAGAGGUGAAAUUCGUAGAUAUUCGGAAGAACACCAGUGGCGAAGGCGGCUCACUGGACCGGCAUUGACGCUGAGGUGCGAAAGCGUGGGGAGCAAACAGG
rnacentral:rRNA from 1 species